rnacentral:lncRNA from 1 species
GGGGGGCUGGGCUUUAGCCUUGAGGGAAGCGCCGGCCUUGGUCGGAGAGUCUGAGAGAGAAAGAGGCGGUGAUGGAGGAGAGAGAAGGAAGAGAGAGUUGUCUCUCUCUCUCUCUCUCUCAAUUGCACCAUCGACUUGUCAACUUCCCAGCGGCAUUACAUCACCAUCCGGCCAAUAACUGUCUAAGCAAAUAUGCAAGCUCAACUAGACACCUUGCGCCAAAGACAUGGCCAAAAUGCAAAAGCACAACAACAUCCUCUAGACUAAGCUGAAUAAUACUCAGAGGGCAGCUAUAGAGGCAGCAAUCCUAUUCUUCCAUCUUGAGCAAGGCCUUGAGCAGACCGUGCAGGUUCAGCAAGAACACUCCCUUCAAAGCGUGCACGCCCCUAACCAACGCACUAGGGGAAAAGGCUUGGCAACUACCGAACCUGCUCAAAGACCAACCUUACCAUGGUCACUGAGUUUAUUCUGAAUUUUGGCAUAUGAUGAAGGCUCGAAGAGCUGAUCAAAAUUUACAUCAAGCUCGAUGAUCCUUGUAUGCAGGUUCUUGGCCCUAAGGAUAAAAUCAGUCACGCCCAUACAGAACGUGGUGUCAAAGAAAUAAGGGACUCUGAGUAUUUGCCAACUGAUAUCGAAGCAACAAAGUCAUACCGAUCAGGCGUGAAACAUUCUGACAGUACAACUCGUUAACAAUAGGGCUCCACUAGGGCCACGGAGAGCGAGAGAGAGACCCAUAACGUCCGGUAGAGCACAAUGGUAAAGGUGCUCAACAACCUCUGCCAAGAUCACCUUGCUCUUCGACAGACGAUGAGCUCCCAAGUGCCGAUCUCACCAUUUGUCUCCUCUUCCAGAAGAUAAAAAACUUGAGGAAGGUAAGUCCCAUUCCCAACAGCUGGCCUGGAGCAAGCCUCGG